AGAUACUUUUGAUAUAUACUUUAUUUAACAAGUUAUUCACUGCCAGUUUUAGUACCUGCUAUUAAUUAUUCAUUCAGCAAGAUUCAUUAAGUUCUGACUGUAUUUCAGGUAACUUGUAAAACACUGUCACAAGUGCUGACAGGAGAAAGUGGGAAGGCAUGGGAAAUAUGUUUAGAUUUUUUUAGAGAAUUAAAGUUCCGGUUGGAACAGUAUCUCUAGUAGCGUGUUUUUCCUUAAGUUUAAAAAUUUACUGUUGCUAACUUAUCAACAUCUGGUACUUUAUCAGGCAAUUUAGAAAGAACUUUACUUUGUACGUUAUUGUCACAGUUUACACACGUAGCAGUUUUAAAGAAUUGUUCCUCACUCUUCCGCCUCCUCUUCCUUUGCUGAACAAUUUAGUACAGAACCAGUUAGGUGGGAUUGAUCGAGGGAGUCAUCCCUGCAAGGGGGGUAGGUGGGAGGGAGGCCUGUCUGCCUGGCCAGAAUCAGAAGGUACCUGCAUGGGGGAUGGGGCAAUCACGGGCAAGGCAGAGGGCUUUGACGGAGUGAGUAAAUACGUUGAGGAUAACGGGGCCAGGUUUCUAACAAUCGGAAAGGGGAGUUACAAAUAUGGAAAAGUAGAAAACUAGAAUGAACGCCGUGGCACUGGAUUGAUAUGGGAUGUAUCUGUCUGUACUGCUGGUUUUGAAUAUAUAGACAUAGAAAUAAAUAGAAAUGUAUAUGAGAGAGUGAACGAAUUUUCUUUUUUUGAGGGGAGGGAUGUGUGUGAGGGAGGGGCAUAGAGAGGAGAGAGAGAAUCCCAAGCAGGCUCCAUGCUGUCAGCACAGAACCCGACCUGGGACUUGAGCUCACAAACUGUGAGAUUGUGACCAGAGACAAAAGUAAGAAUUGGACGCUUAACUGACUGAGCCACCCAGGCGCCCCUGAAUUAUUAUUAUUUCUUUAAUAUGUUUUUUGAGAGAUGGGAGAGGGGCCUAUAGAGCGAGAGAGAGAGAGAAUUCAUGCUGAGCAUGGAGCCGGAUGAGGGGCUUGAUCCCAGGACCAUGAGAUCAUGACCUGAGCCAAAAUCAAGAGUCAGAUGCUUAACUGACUGAGCCACUCAGCACCCCAAGAGUGAAUGGAUUAUAGCUCUUUCCUAGCUUUGCCUGCUCAUAGGACCUGGGAGCAACAGCACCCUGGUAGCAAUGAAUGUACCCAGUGCCCAUUUGUUUUCUAAAUAUCACAUUCUGCUCAAAGUAAUUGGAUCCUUGCAGAAAUGGCCAGUUUCAGGAUGGAGGCAGGGAAAGUACAAGGCGAGCCUGGAACGUUAUGUAGCCAGAAAGAAGGAAUUAUUUAAAGAAAAAGUAUCAAAAAGAUAUAAAUGUCAGCUUAAAAGAGCUCCUUCUUUCCAUAUUGGAGACACUUUGAGUAUCAAAAUAAAAAAUGAUAGUAAUGGGUCAUAACCCAUUGAGUAAAAUAGAAAUCUAUAAAUUCAUGCUGUAAUCAAUAAACCGUUUCAUGAGAAGGGAUAUUCACAUAGUCACAAAGCACCUCCCCACAAAAUGCUUACUAAUUAUAGAGGAGAAAAAGAUUAAUUUUACACUGAAGAAGUCUGGCAAACACCACACUAGUAUCAAAUGAUUAAAGUCAAUGAGUGGAGGGACCAAUCACUGAUGGGGCGCAGGGAAAAAACAGUCUCACUUCUCUGGUAUUCCUGCCAAAGAAGUGGAACCUGCAUCUAAUCAGUGGAGUCAGACAAAGCUAAAUUAAGGGAGUGUGUAACAAGAUGGCCUAUAAUCUUCCCAAGGGUCAAGGUCAUGAAAGUUAUAGAAAGACCAGAAGAUUGUUCCAGUCUGGGAGAGACUAGAGACAUGACAAGUAAAGGCAUGAAUCUGGACUGAUCCUUUUGCCGUUAAGGACAUUACUGGGGACAGCUGGCAAAAUUGAAUGGGGUCUGAGGAUUGGGUGGUGGUAACAUAUAAAUGUAAUUUUCGUACAGUUGUAUUGUGAUUAUAUGGGAGAAUUUCCUUGUUUGUAGGAAACAUGAUCAUGGUAACUUACUCUCAAAUUGUUCAGGAAAGGAAGAGGUCUUAUAUAAUUAAUUUAUCUGUGAUUUAUUAGGUAGAAAUCUGUUAAUCAUUGUUUCUGCUCUUUACCAAAAAAGUAACAGUCACAAUUCUCUCACCCUUUACUCUUGCCUAACCUACCUACCCUGCCAAUCCUCAAUCUUAAAUCAAUACAACUGACUCUUCUUUGCUCCCACUGUUAAAGAAAACAAAAAUCACUGUUGAUUGAUUCCGUUACAGAAUAAUGGACUUCAACGUUAAUGAUGCUUUCAUUUCAUUUGCUCAUCAAUAGUUAUUACUUCUCCCACUCUCCUCCAGCAUUCCAAACCUUUGCCUGCUUCCUUGUCUCCUUGUGUUUGACCCCACUCUUACUUAACUCCGUGGCCUCCUACUCACUAGAAGACAGACACUUUUAAGCUUCCUUUCCUCCUCCCCAGAGCAGCCUCAGAUAUAUAACCAUCCAUAUCUCUUUGUCAGGUUAUUCAUAAAAAUAAGUGAUCCUAAUUUCUUCCAGUGCUAAUCUUGAUCUUCUAUAGCCGCCCCUGAGACUUUGCACCAUGAGUGUUCCUCUCUUUUAUUUUGUUCACUGUCCCUUUUCUCUCCGUCUGUAAAGCAGAGAGGUUAACUGGCAGAACUGAGACUUGAAAUCAGGCUUGUCUGAUUCUAACACCCACUAUGUGGGGUUCCCUCAGAAAUCUUACUUGCCUAAUCUACUGGUCUCUUUUCAAUUUUCAUCAUACUAUGUGCUUUUUUUUUUUUUUAAGACUUUAUUUUUAAGUAAUUUCUACACCCAGCAUGGGGCUCAAACUCAUGACCCUGAGAUCAAGAGUCACCAGCCAGGUGCCCCUCUCAUCCUACUAAAUAUUCAUUUUCCCCUCCUCCCUGGAAUUUUUUUUCUUUUGCUUCAAGGUACAGCUCUUUCCUGAUUUUUCUACUCGUCUGAUCGUUUUUCCCCGUGUUUUGCUGACUCUUCUGCCAGUGCCUACCCCUUAAUUGUGCUGCUCAGGCAUCUGUCCUUGGGCUGCUCCCUUCCAUGUUCCCCACAUUCUCAUUUGUAAUCUCAUCAGCCGCAAGCCUAAGCUUUCAGCUGCUGUGCAAAUACUGCUGACCCAGAUCUGCUUCUACUACCUGCUGGAUGUCUUCUAUAUUAGGCUGUCACGUGCAGGAGCCACGAGCUGCGUCGAGCUCUGGAGCCCUUGAGAGUUGGCUACUCCGGGGGCACCUGGGUGGCUCGGUCAGUUAAGCGUCCGACUCUUGAUUUAGGCUCAAUUCACCAUCUCACAGUUCGUGAGAUCGAGCCCUGUGUCAGGCUCUGCGCGGACAUCAGGGAGCCUGCUUGUAAUUCUCUCUCCCCCUCUCUUUCUCUGCCCCUCACCCCUGUCUCUCUCUC